GGGGCCGUAUCUCAACGGCAGAGUUCUCGGUUUGCACCCGGGCGAUGCGAGUUCGAGUCUCGCCGGCUCCA
rnacentral:tRNA from 1 species